rnacentral:misc_RNA from 1 species
GAUGAAGAACGCAGCGAAAUGCGAUAAGUAAUGUGAAUUGCAGAAUUCAGUGAAUCAUCGAAUCUUUGAACGCACAUUGCGCCCGCCAGCAUUCUGGCGGGCGUGCCUGUUCGAGCGUCAUUUCAACCCUCAAGCUCUGCUUGGUGUUGGGGCCCUACGGUUGACGUAGGCCCUUAAAGGUAGUGGCGGACCCUCUCGGAGCCUCCUUUGCGUAGUAACUAACGUCUCGCAUUGGGAUUCGGAGGGACUCUUGCCGUAAAACCCCCAAAUUUUCUAAUGGUUGACCUCGGAUCAGGUAGGAAUACCCGCUGAACUUAAGCAUAUCAAUAAGCGGAGGA